rnacentral:rRNA from 1 species
AUACGUAGGGUGCAAGCGUUAAUCGGAAUUACUGGGCGUAAAGCGUGCGCAGGCGGUUUUGUAAGACAGGGGUGAAAUCCCCGGGCGCAACCUGGGAACUGCCAUUGUGACUGCAAGGCUGGAGUGCGGCAGAGGGGGAUGGAAUUCCGCGUGUAGCAGGGGAAUGCGUAGAUAUGCGGAGGAACACCGAUGGCGAAGGCAAUCCCCUGGGCCUGUACUGACGCUCAUGCACGAAAGCGUGGGGAGCAAACAGGAUUAGAUACCCUGGUAGUCCACGCCCUAAACGAUGUCAACUGGUUGUUGGGUCUUCAUUGACUCAGUAACGAAGCUAACGCGUGAAGUUGACCGCCUGGGGAGUACGGCCGCAAGGUUGAAACUCAAAUGAAUUGACGGGG